CCGAGAGCGAGAAGGUAGGGUUAUUGUGUGAGUUGAGAAGAAGGUUACGGCUGAUGGAGAUUGAGGGGAAGAGGAAAUGGCGUAAGUUUUUGAGGUGAGUGAAGAAGAGGGAAAACAAAAGAACAGAGAACGAAAGCGCUUUUGUGGUCUGAAAUUUUAUUUUAAUAAGACCUUAGACAGCGCUUUUGUGGAAAGCGCUUUCUAAGGUAUGCCUAAGACAACGCUUUCCAAAGCGCUUUCUAAACCCCCCCUUAGACAGCGCUUUUGGUUUUAAUUUUUUUUUUUAAUUUAAAGACUUUAGACAGCGCUUUACCAAAAGCGCUGUCUAAAGUCUAUAUUUAUAAGCGCUUUCUAAAAGCGCUGUCUAAGGGGGGGUCUUA
rnacentral:lncRNA from 1 species